AUACGGAGGGUGCGAGCGUUACUCGGAGUCACUGGGCGUAAAGCGUCCGUAGGCGGUCGGGUAAGUCGGGUGUGAAAGCCCCGGGCUCAACCUGGGAAGUGCACCCGAUACUGCUCGACUCGAGUGCGGGAGAGGAUGGCGGAAUUCCCGGUGUAGCGGUGGAAUGCGUAGAGAUCGGGAGGAACACCAGUGGCGAAGGCGGCCAUCUGGCCCGCAACUGACGCUGAGGGACGAAAGCGUGGGGAGCAAACAGGAUUAGAAACCCUAGUAGUCC
rnacentral:rRNA from 1 species